rnacentral:lncRNA from 1 species
AGAAUCCUUUAAAAUAUCACAUAGAGAUAAGAAUAAAAAUAUCUGUUAAAAUAUUGGAAGAUAUGUUUCAUAAUUAAUUAAAAAAUAUAUAAUUUAUUUUUUUUUAACUUAUUGGAAUAAAUAUUAAUCCACAUCUUAUAUACAUUGAGUUGGAUUAGAACCAACUAAUAUAUGUCAGAUCGUUGGCGCAAACUAUUAUUUCCAAAAGCUUGAGCUGUUAAAAAUACGCAACCAAUUUACUUAAAGCGUAUAGAUAUAGCGUGCACGAGUCUCGAUUGUGACUCGGCCCAACCAGCCUCACACUACUUCGAAUAUGAUUCGGCCUAUCCAGCCUUACGCCAUUUCGAAUAUGGCUCGGCCUAACAUGGCCUCCCGUCACAGAGAAUGAUGCUAGCCCAUUUAAGCCAACAAUAUAGACACACUACAUGACAGUUAUACAUUUAACGGUUCCUGCUCCUAUUAGUCAUUAUUUUUUUGGGACAAUUGCUUAUAUAUUUCUAAGAAGUUCAUGAUUUCGUAUUAUUCCUUUAAGAAGGCUAAUAUUAAAAAUAUCUUUUUAAGAUUCCAAAUUUUUUCAAAUAUGCUUCUAUAAAGUUAAAUUCUAUCAGUGAACGAUUAGAAACAACUGUUAUUUAUAAAAAAUUACUAUUUUUUCUUUCAAAUAUAACCUUCUAGAAUCACCAACUUUUUUUAUUUAUUCUUAAAUUAUGAGUAAAAGAAGUAUUUUAGUAAUUUUUUAACUAUGAUUGAAAUUUAACUCAAGUCCAAUCCGAAAUGAUUUAAUAGGCACCAACAGUAGAAGUAUUUUUGAAUAAUGAAGAAAUAUACGAGAAAUAUAUUUGAAACAAGAAAAAAAAAGUAAAAAUAAAUAAAAUAUUUUAAAUAUUUUGAAGGGUAUAUUUGCAAUUAUUUCGGAAUGGACAAAUUAAA